rnacentral:tRNA from 1 species
GGCCGGUUGGCCCAAUGGCAAGGCGUCUGACUACGAUUCUAUGUGUAAUCAGGAGAUUCUGGGUUCGACCCCCAGGCUGGUCA